rnacentral:antisense_RNA from 1 species
GAGCUGGGAAUACAAUCUUCAGGCAAAUGACUGGAAAGCCCCCUUCAGGCCCCUAACAUCUCCCAGCACUAAGUAUGAGCACUAAGUGUGUGCAUUCAGCCACACUAGGAUACAGCAGAGCUGCAUGUACCCCAGGACUCAGCCAGUUUCCUACAGGAGCAUAGGAGAAAGUACCACUAAAGGAGAGCAAGGAGAAGGAAGAGGAAGAGGGCAGCGAUUGGCAAGGCUUGAGGCAUGAAGAAAGUGCACUUUCACUGUUGCAGUGGUCUUAGAAAACAAAUAUUUCUGCAUGGUGACACGGUUCUUACUAGAACCCCAGAACAUCUCCAUGGUAUGACCUACCACAUUUCCUCCCCACCAAAAUAAUAAUGAUAAUAAUGAUAAUAAUAAUAAUAAUAAUAAUAAUAAAGGCUACCAAGUAUCUGGAAUUUCUUGCUCAUUAAAAUCUGAUUACUACCACU